rnacentral:lncRNA from 1 species
UGGGCGGCUUCUUCCGGGCCUUAAAAAGCCAGGCCAGCCCCCUCCCUCGACCCCCUCCCCUCCACUGCGGCAGCACGCAGGCUGCUUGGAGAGGUGACAAAAAAUUAAAAUUAAAGCUAAAUUAAAAGGAAGAUUCCCAUUUCCUCUCCCCAUCACACUUUCCACCUUAAUUUUAUCGCAUCUUCCCUCUCGUUUUAUUGACUUUUAGAAGCAUUGCCACAAGAUUUAGUGUGGAGCGGGAGGGGAGGUAAUAAAUGCGGUGCUGCUCUUGCCUCCAAUUAAUGCCGCCAGGGGGUGCGGGGAGGAGGGAGGGGAGGGGGAGGGCCGCCCCUGGGCGUGAAGCUCCCAGGAAGCUCCAGGAGCGCCCAGGUCCGGGAGACAACUGAAGGUGAGGGCGAUGGUCGCUUCUGGCUUUUGUCCCCUCCCUGGGCCCGUUUCCUGGUGGCCCAGAGAAAAAGACUCAUUGUGAACUGUGCCAAUCAGACCAGAAAACAGAAAUCAGAAUUUAGUCUCCUCGGUCUGGUUGUACAAACUCCCGAGCUCUCCCCUCCCCCAAACCCCACCCAGAUUUCCUGGGAUGAAGAUUCCCCACCUACCAAACAGAUCUUUAUUUAAUUUUAUUUUAUUUCACGCUCUGUUGGUGCAAGGCAGGUUCCCCUCCCCACCCUCCCUCCUUCCUUCCUCUAUUUAUUUUUUCCUGCGCCCCCCAUCUCUAAUAUCAUUUUCACCCACCCACAGCGACGCUGCGUGUUUGUAAUUUUCUUCUGACCCUAAUGGCUCCAGUUUCCCCUCAGUAUUUAAGCAGAACAAGACAGAGCAGUGUGACCCUGGGCCCAUCCCCUACUCUGUGAGCAGAGUUCUCAGAACUUAGUGAGAAAAAUGGAAGUGCUGGCCCUGUCCUGGCUCCUGGAAGCUGCUCAGCCCAGCCCGCACCUCCUCCGGGCAGGACUCCACAGCCUCCUCUGGGCUCGCCGAAAACCCUGUCCUUGCCUCAACAGUGAGCUCCUCAUGGCAGAAGGUAAGGGAGGGUUUAAAUCCAUGGUCAGGGGUUUUCUCCAAGAGCAGGAGCCAUGCUCCUCCCCUGGGCCCUCAGCCUGGGGCCCCAGAGCAGGUGGACACUCCGACUGCUUUACUGUCCUCUCUGCACCUCAUCUCCACACAUGCGGGCGUAGAGAGGGAGUGGGGGGACAUCCACACCAUGUGACAUUUGUGUGGCCCUUGCUAUACACGAGUCCUUCUAGCGUGGGUCUCACCUUGACAACAACCUCCCAAGGCAGGUACUCUGAGUUCCUUCUUCAGAAAAAUUCACCCCCUCCCAGGUGGACACCAGGGGAUCUGCUUCCCAUUGUCCUUGCCUCUUCUAUGGCCACCCUUCGGGCUGCCAAGCCUUCCCAUCUCUGGCACAGUCUUGGCUCUUUUACCCUUUCCCCCCAUUUCUGUCAUGUCCCAGAUCUGGGGCGCGGGGCGGGGGGUUGAUCAACAGGCCUGACGAUGAGACAGUGAAGCCUGACCCCUUCCCCGAGUGCAGGCCUUCGUGCAUCCUGAACUCAUCCUGAGGCUUAGGGAGCCCCCUCUCCGCUGAGCAGGC